UCUUUCUAAGUACAGGGGGCACGCGCCAGCUGGCACCAGUGGGGAGACGCCUUUUUGCACACCAGCUGGAAGCAGGAUUUAACGCCCCUGCCCCCCCUAUCCGACCCCUCCUUCAUGGUUUGAGGGGUGAGCGGAUUAGGUUCACUGCUGUUUGUUUACGGCACACUUCUAUUGUUAUUGCCGUUUACAUAUGUAUAUGUUUGAGGCCCGCCCGAGAGACAGACCUGCCCAUAGCAGUCCUCCUCCAACUCAGCUGCCAGCCCAUCAUUGGCUUUUAAGUCCUGCUUGGCUUCAAAAGAGUAUCACCGCUGCCAAUAGAAUCUCCAUGCUCGGUGUUAUUGUGGUUUGGGUAACCCUUUAAUAAGAUUCUGGGUUGUGUUCAUUGGGGCACACUGCUUUAAAAUGUUUCACAACGGUAUAUUAAAAUGAGUGUUUUUAUUGGACAUGUACAGAUAAUACCUUCACGUUUCACUCCAUUUUGGAGUUUGUUCCUACUGAACACAACCCAGGUAUUUUUAAAUGUGUCAUGUGAUCCGAUCAGUGAGAUGAGGUCACAAUGGCCAGGUUCGUGUUCAUUAGGCACCAAGCGGAAAGAACUUAAACAGGGAGGGACUACCUGGACUAAACACAUUUUGUUUCAAAAUGUUUUCUAUUGUGUGUUCUUAUGAACAUGACCCAUGUGUGGGCACUUUUGGGACAGAUUGGAUCAAAGGGAACGAUCUCCUGAGAAAGACAAGGGCAUUGUAGCUGAGUAUGUAACAUGGGGCUCCAUGGAUAGACUGGGUAAUCUCUGCAGGCAACUGUGAUGUCUUAUGGUUUCUCACAUUGACCUGGAGAGGUUCUGCAGUCCGUCUGCUCAUACAUCCUCUUGUUCGGAGUGAAAAACACAAAAUAAUGCAGAUCGUUCUAUAACAUGGAUCCAAAUGCAUCCAUCGAUCUGUCUUAUCAUAACUAAGUGUUAUGUACACUAUCUCUGAAAUAAUUUCUGUGGAAAAUAGACAUGUCAAUCAUGGGGAGGAUGAAGACCACUUACACAUCAUGUGCACCUCACGCAAAUAUCAUUGUGACUCGAGUCGGGGCAGAAAUGGCUGGUAAGUGCAACUGCUGUUUCUGUCUCAGGAGCCCCUUUUGGAGACUAUGGGAGAUUCUCUAUUGGUUUGCUCAACUCCUCCAUCCUCUCCUCGCCUCCUUUUGAAAAAGGUAACCGGGGAGGAGAGGAAAUGUGGAAACAAAUGCACUUGUAUGAAACGAGACCAUCCUCCUUCAUUUGCACGUCAUCAUGCAAAUUAUGUUUACAGGGGUGGAAUCCCAAAUGAAAUGUGUAAAGUAGUAAAAAUGCAUUUAGCUAGUUAUCCUAGACAUUUUAUAGAUAAAGGGAUAAGUUGCAUAUCGUUUUUAAAUAUGUGCCUCCUUUUCUCCUCCCAAGUAAACAGUUGAUUCAAAGGGGGUGUGGCAGAUCCCAUAACUCUUCCGCGAAGGACUCCGGUAGGAUACUCUUGUGCUUCUUCGGCGGUAGGAGGCUAUCGAGGAGGUGAGGACACUCUGUUUGUCUACUAACUGAUACUCUCCUCAACCAUCGGUUUCCGGGUCAGAGGAGAGAGGACGGAGGAGUCCAGGAGAGGACGGUCUUUUGCCCCAAAUGAGAAUCUCCCUGUGAAUAUAAACUGUCAUGUCUCUUACACCUCCACGUAAUGGAUCAUAUUCCAACUUGAUCAGCUGUCCGAUGAGUUGCUGUGAUUUGGCCUAAUCUCAGCUGGCAACUGUGAGCAGUUCAGUGUUUCCUCUCACAGUGGCUGCUGGGGUUCUGCUAAACGCAGCUGUUUGCCUCUCCUGCACCACAGUCCAGUACAGUAGGUCCCUGGCUGGAACAAGCUUUUGGAGAGGUGCCCGGUCUCCAAGGGGUCAAUAGAGAUGACCUGCCGCUGCAGUGUCCUUCCUUCAAAAUUGUCACUGGUGUUAGCACUUAACAUGGGAUAGUCCCCUACUGAUGGUUUACAGAUGUUGAACAAAUUGUUUAACUAUCCACUAACCAUAUCCAUAACUCUAAUGUUUUGUUUAUUUUUAUUAGAGUUCAAAUUUGCAAUUGCAGCAUUGAUUCAUUUUUCAUUUUUUAAAACAAGGAACAGCUCAAUCCCUCGCCCCCUCCUACCCCAGUCCCACCCUCCCUUUCCAUCCCAGGUAAAAACAAAAAAUAUACAUCUAAGGCCUCAUAACUCCAAUUCUAUACCUAACCAUAAUGUAAAAUCUAACCCUAACACUGGCAGGUCAUGGCAUAUCAACAAAGCUGCAGUCAGUUAGUUUGAGCCUCUAUAGAGCUACUGUGGGGGCUAUCCAAUAAAGUGGGGUGUCUCUUUUUCUCUAUAACUCGUCCAUUUCCUCUCCUAAUCUUGUUUUAACCAUUUACUAACUCCCUCAUUUGCCCACUUGCAGUUGGUUCUUUUUGAGCCAGAAUGGAUCCCCGGUUUCCAUGACUGAAUGUAGAGCUUUCUGAUGUUGAUGAUACUGCAUCAGGAACUGAUUGGAUGAUGUCGAUGGGCCAUCAGUUCUUGAUGCAUUGCCUUCAGCAUUGAAAGAAACACCACACAGUGUGUUGCUCUUUAAAAAUAUGAUUUACAAUUUUUUUCCAUGUAUGUUGUACUCAUUUAAAAAAAUGUAAUCAUUUAAAAUACUGUAAUUGAGCAUCAUGAGUUAACUACAUUUUAUGUUUCGUAAACUUUCAUGAAUAAGCCUUUAUAAAUGCUUAGUCACGUUGAUAAAUGUUUACAAAUAAAUGUGUAAUUGUUUGAGUAGUUUAAUGCUUAUUCAUGAUUAUUAUAAACUGUUACCAAUGUUUUAAGGCAAAGAUUUGGACACCAGGUACUUUGAGAUAUUUAAGGAAUAGAAUGUAGCUGUGUCAUUGCACCUUUUGGUUAGAAUUUGUGUUAAAGAGAAUGCUUGUUAUGAAUGGUUUGACAUAUACAAAAAAAUGCAGUCACAUAUGUCCAUCAUUGAUUUGGGGUAAAUGUGUGGUGUGUAAUGCAGAAUGAUGACGCUAUUAAAGGAUGUUGUAGAAGUUUAGUAUGCUGUAGUGUACCUCAAGUAAAUUUUCACAUUGCUAUUCAGACCACAGGAGGCUGCUGAGGGGAGGACAGCUCAUAAUGGCCGGAACAGAGCAAAUAGAAUGGCAUCGAACACAUGGAAAUCAUGUGUUUAAUGUAUUUGAUACCAUUACAUUAAUUCUGCUCCAGCCAUUACCACGAGCCUGUCCUCCCCAAUUAAGGUGCCACCAACCUCCUGUGAUUCAAACGCUUUAGUUCAGAUGAAAAUUGCUGCAAACAUGACAAUCGACUUCAAGACAGAAUUAAGAACUGUAAUACCAUAACCGAUGACAAGGGCGCCACCUGCCAGUCACAAUAUGAAAGUAUCUAUUUUUUUAAACAAAGGGAAAGGGGGAUACCUAGUCAGUUGUCCAACUGAAAUGUGUCUUCUGCAUUUAACCCAACCCCUCUGAAUCAGGACACACUCAAUCAAUACCAUCUAUGGAGUAAGUGCAUUACAUUUUCACAAGCAAAUACUGUCUGAUUUCUGUAUAUCGAACAUUGCAUGAGAGCAACUACUUUUUAAAACAUGAUGUGAAGCUAUCCAUAAAUUCUUUACAAUAAUAGGUCCUUAAUUAUGGUGUGUGGGUGGCAUGUGCACACAGUUGGUAAAACAGUUGAUCUAAGUAAAGCUCACAAUGAAUUGAUACCAGAUACUAGCUUUAUGACUGAAUAGGUGUUACCAUCCUCACAAAUGCUGCUGAAUCAAACCAUAACCCAGGAUGUAGGGGCUGAGGGAAUGUUGUCUGUAAUUUGUGGAGGAGGGUCAUUGUGUCAGAUGUAGAAGGACAGAGUUCCUGCACUGUGGUUCAGGUACACUCCUACUCUAGAGGAGCAAGGAACAUUGAUAUGAGUCCAUUCUCCAUUAUUGUGGAAGAAACAAGUGUAGGGCGGAGGGGAGCAGUAUAUCCUCCAGGACUGAUCAUUGAUCCCAAAACAAUGCUAAUAACCUACUUUCCUGAUCUCUUCAUUUGACGCUGCUAUAUCAGCGGAUUGCCCACUCCGCUCUACCUCUCAGUAGACGCAGGCUCCAGACAGACUCUCUCUACACAACACCUGAGGGUGGUUGAUAAAUCUGACUCGAUGGGUGUUCCAUCUGAACUUCAGUCACUAUGGAGACAGACCGACUCAUCUUAUAACACACGGUUGAAGAAUUGACUCAAAUUAAAUCAAGCUGCCAGAA